rnacentral:lncRNA from 1 species
AGGAGGAGGUGAGAAGAGAGGGAAAGUUGAAGGAAGAGAAGGAGAAGAGAGAGGAAGGAGGGAGGAGAGGAAAAAGCGAUACCAGUCCGCGUUUCUUUGGAAAACUUGCACUCGGGCCAUAUGACUAAUACCAUAAUAAAUGAUUUUAACGAUAUCCACGUGAUCUCCCAAGAUAUACUUUCCAAGUUCGUCUCUACGUGAAUUUUUAAGAGUCGUUUCGGUUCCUUCUCUCUUAAAUACGUUCUUUUAUUAUUUCUUCCUUCUGCUUCCGGUUUCCAUCGUCCUUAAUUACUCGCUUCAUAGAAGAUGGACCGCCAAAGAGCGAGAAGAAACCAUCAUAGCAUUCCUCAACUAUUGGUAUGUGCUUUUCUUUGUGUCAUUGUAGGUGUUGUGAUUGGAAGGUUGUUG